ensembl:lncRNA
UCCUUGGUGUGGUCCUCCAGCGAAUGGUCCAACUGCUCCAGGCAUAGGAGCUGGACAGCUGGUAAAUCCAUACCGCAAAAAAAGAAAGAAAAACGCAGCUAAUUUUACUCACUUUGAGGGUAUGCUAUUCUGUUACGUGUUGAGGUGUGUAAAGCCAAGUGUGUGCAGGACUGUGGCCCUCCAGGAACUGAGUUUGACACCCUUGGCCUGUCCCAUUUUUGCCUCCCUCCCACUGUUAAAAUGUAACUAAGUAAUUUUUACUCUGAGUAAAUUUUAAAUGAGUUACUUUUCACUUUUACUUGAGUAGAUUUUUAGACGGGUACUUUUACUUGUACUUAAGUAAAAUUUCAUUCAUGUAAUGGUACUUUUACUUGAGUAGAAUAUUUUUGUACUCUUUCCACCUCUGACCAAAACAGAUCAUAACCAUGACAAAGUUAUACAUAAAAUCAAAGAUUUCACAGCAAAAAUACACAUGUAUCGUGGCCUGAAGGAGGACUUUUAUACAGUUGUCCAUUGGUAUGCUGUGAGAUUUUGUUGGCUGGAUGGUCCCCUGGUAGGCAUCUGUCCUCUGUUUGGUGUCUGAGUGUCCAGUGGGUUUUUACAUAGGCUUAACUCAACAUCUAUCUAUUCACUUAUGUACUUAUGUUCUCCUAGUAAUGGUCUCUCCUAUGCAGUGCAGCGCAUUACUUUCAAUCCAAUGAUUUAUGGCUAUGUCUCCAGUCUGUCUAGUGCUUCAAGAUCUCUGUUUGAUUAUGUUGCUCAUCUUUUUUGGUGCUGACUGCCACAAACUGCACCAAGAUCAACCUUGCAAGUCUACUUGCCCUGGGCAGAACACCGGUUACUUUACCAGUAUUGUGUUUAAGGCUGAAGGCCAAAACUCAGGCAGACACGGUGGACCAUCGGUUCAAGAGGUUUCCAAUACAGUGAGGAGGCUGUGUGCUCAUCUUGCAGAUCAACAACAGGAACAGGGUCCAUGUAACGAAGUCCAGCAGUUCAUCCUUGUUCUGAAGCAGAGUCCUGAGGCAGGAUACGAAGUGGAUGAUCAUUUGCAGAUCACAGAGCUGCUGCAUGUGUUGAAAGCAGUGGAGAAUGCAGGAGCGGCUGUGUCAGAUCUCAUCCUCACGCUGAGCCGCUGUGUGCAGAAUCAGUCUGUGCUGCUGGAGCUCGCUGUACGAGCAUUCAGGAGAAUCCCAUGCCUUCAUGACAGGACAGCUCUUGCUCAAGCAUUUCAAAGCCAGCAGGAGAAUGUGGAGGUCAGAAUCGCAGCAUAUCAGCUGCUCAUGUCCAAACCAGGAGAUUUUCACAAUUGUGAAGACAACUUUGAGCAAUGAGAAGUCUAGUCAAGGUACUGAUCAAAUAGUAUUUAUUAUUACUAACUAAAAUGUGCUACAUUAUUUCAACAUCGUUAGAGAAUGUUUAAAAUUCAGAUACUUUUGAUAUGGAUAGAUGAAUAUUCUUAAAGGGUUAGUUCACCCAAAAAAAGGUGUUUCACUCAUGCCCAUGACAUCCUAAGUGUAUAUGACUUUCUCCUUUCAGACGAAUCCAGUCUGACUUAUAUUAAAAAUGGUCUUUGAUCUUUCAAGCUCUAUCAUUGCAGUCAGCGGGUGUUGCAGUGCGUCAGUCCAAAAGAAGUUAAAUAAAAAGCGCCCAUCCAUAAAAAAAGUGUCUCA